UGUGUGUGUGUGUGUGUGUGUGUGGUCUAUUUCUGACGAAGGUCUUGUUGGCAGAAAGCUCACUUUCUGACAGUCUUUUCGUUGUGCCUAUUUGCAACGCAGUUUCUCUGCUGUAAGGUUUGUGUCAUUCGCUGUGAGCCAGUGAUGAGGUCUGCAAUAAAAUGCUAAGCUCGUGUGUGAGCAAUAGUGACAAUUUCUGUUACACUUGUGAUGAGUUCACAUUUACAACACAGAAGAGGAAGCUCCAGCCUGUUGUUUGCAAAGCUUAUGAAUUGUACUCUGGAUGCAAGAGUCUCUCGGUGUUGUUAGUGAUGAACAUAAGGAGAGUUUCCAUCAACAGAUGGCUACUAUGGAGAAGAGUUAACAAGGAAAAAUGGAAUCUCAGUAUGUUACCAGACUACUGCUGAACAAUCAACAGUAAGAUUUCAGAAACUAUCUACAUUCUUAAACGUGCAUGGAUAUAUAUGGAAUUGUUGUUUGUAAUAAUUGACAAACAAACAUACUGAAAUUACUUGUAUAUGUAUGGAAAUGACUUAAACGAAAACAAAGAAAAUAGAGAAUAGUUAGUAUUACGUAUAUACAGUAUGUGUAUACAGUUACAAGAAAAAGCCUAUAUCACAAAAAUAAAAACCAACUAAAUAAUUUUA